GUGGGGAAUAUUGGGCAAUGGGCGGAAGCCUGACCCAGCGACGCCGCGUGGGGGAAGAAGUCUUUCGGGAUGUAAACCCUUGUUGUACGGGACGAAGGAAGUGACGGUACCGUACGAGGAAGCCCCGGCAAACUACGUGCCAGCAGCCGCGGUAAUACGUAGGGGGCGAGCGUUGCUCGGAUUGACUGGGCGUAAAGCGCGCGUAGGCGGUCCAUUAAGUGUGCGGUGAAAUUCGGAGGCUCAACCUCCGUCCCGCCGCGCAAACUGAUGGUCUUGAGAUUGGGAGGGGGAUGCGGAAUUCCUGGUGUAGCGGUGAAAUGCAUUGAUAUCAGGAGGAACACCGGCGGCGAAAGCGGCAUCCUGGCUUAUAUCUGACGCUGAGGCGCGAAAGCGUGGGUAGCAAACGGGAUUAGAUACCCUUGUAGUCC
rnacentral:rRNA from 1 species